rnacentral:rRNA from 1 species
UGGGGAAUUUUGGACAAUGGGCGAAAGCCUGAUCCAGCAAUGCCGCGUGUGUGAAGAAGGCCUUCGGGUUGUAAAGCACUUUUGUCCGGAAAGAAAUCCUUGGCUCUAAUACAGUCGGGGGAUGACGGUACCGGAAGAAUAAGCACCGGCUAACUACGUGCCAGCAGCCGCGGUAAUACGUAGGGUGCAAGCGUUAAUCGGAAUUACUGGGCGUAAAGCGUGCGCAGGCGGUUUGCUAAGACCGAUGUGAAAUCCCCGGGCUCAACCUGGGAACUGCAUUGGUGACCGGCAGGCUAGAGUAUGGCAGAGGGGGGUAGAAUUCCACGUGUAGCAGUGAAAUGCGUAGAGAUGUGGAGGAAUACCGAUGGCGAAGGCAGCCCCUGGGCCAAUACUGACGCUCAUGCACGAAAGCGUGGGGAGCAAACAGGAUUAGAUACCCUGGUAGUCCACGCCCUAAACGAUGUCAACUAGUUGUUGGGGAUUGCAUUUCCUUAGUAACGUAGCUAAACCGCGUGAAGUUGACCGCCUGGGGAGUACGGUCGCAAGAUUAAAACUUAAAUGAAUUGACGGGGUCAUAGCUGUUUCCUG